rnacentral:lncRNA from 1 species
GCAGAGACCUAGCGGACAGUUUUCCGGUGGCAGCAAUGCUCAUUUCCCGGACACAGAUGGUUUUUGGCCCCUGAAGAACUCUUUAAUCCCUGCGUUUUGUAGCGCUCGUUCUCUGUAAGGUUUGCUUAGUAUCCGUUUCAUUUCGACUUCUUUUCUCGCUGUUUUUCUGUCGGAAUUACGAUUUGUUUUGUUUCUAUGUGCUCUCUAGAAUUUUACCGGUUUUCAUUUGUCUACUAAUUUUCGUGCAUUCGUUACUAUUGAGUUUCAUAAUAUCUGGGUGCCCUCUGCCCACGAGCUCCGGAGAGCAUAAAUACCCAGGCUGAUGGUAGUGCUAAAGGUUCUGCUUCAUCUCGUCAAUCAGCGCAAACGCUUAUGUCCUCCUGCUCUGAGGCUUAAUUAAGCGAUGGAGCAACAUUUUCUUGGCUAUGUGAAGCCUGCUUGAGAUUCCGCAGAGGUGGUGCCUGAGCUCCAGCCUCGGCCUAUUUUGAAUUCAGAAGACUGUGAUAUUACUGUGUGAGCCACCACUUUGGGAGGCCAGCAUGGGCAGAUCACUUGAGGUCAGGAGUUGGAGACCAGCCUGGCCCAAGUGGUGAAACCCCAUCUCUACUAAAAAUACAAAAAUUAGCCGGUGAUGAUGCAUGCCUGCAAUCCCAGCUACUCAGGAGGCUGAGGCAGGAGAAUCUCUUGAACUCGGAGGCAGAGGUUGCAGUGAGCUCAGAUCGUGCCACCGUCCUCCAGCCUAGGCAGACUGAGACUCCGUCAAAAAAAAAAAAUCUUAGAGUUAUAUUUUAUGAAAUAAUAGGUAGUCAUUAAAUGUCUGGGUCAUUCUCAACUUUACAAAAGUACUGUAGGCAAACAUUUUUCCAAAGAAAAAGUGUUAUUAUUAAAAGGAAAAUAGUUUUAUCUAAUUCAAAGGUUAUUUAGGAAAAAGGUAAAAACAUACUGUACAUUUUAUCAAAAUAAUUCCUGUGUAAUUAUUACUAGGUUUUUAUUUGCUUAGAAAAACUGAGAUUAAAAAAGGUUAUUAUAUCUACAUAACUUUCUGUAAUUCUUUUAACGUUUUUGUGUUACCAAGUUACAGGGCUUUCACUCCUGGGUCGAAAAAGGUCACCAACUCCUACUAAAUCUUAAACAUUAACAGCAACUGAAGCCUCAUCUUCAGACCUAAGAGAAGAUGAAAAUCAGAAGAAGCUGCAUUCACAAGACCUGUGUCCAGAAAAUUAAACUAUUCAACCCCCUAGUCCCAGGGACUAUUGCAGAAGAAGUGGGUGUUUGGACUUGUAAGGACCUACUUUAAGAGAGAAAGUUAGUUCAGUAUUUCUCUAUAAACAGUGGUUUUGUUUUGUUUUGUUUUGUUUUGUUUUGUUUUGACAGGAACUAGCUCUGUCACCUGGGUUGGAAUGCAGUGGCAUGAUCCUGGCUCACUGCAACCUCCAUCUCCCAGACACAAGCGAUCCUGCCACCUCAGCCUCCUGAGUAGCUGGGACUGCAGGUGUGUACCACCAUGCCUGGCUAAUUUUUGUAUUUUUUGUAGAGACAGUGUUUCAUCACAUUGCCAAGGCUAGUCUCAAACUCCUGAGAUCAAGGAAUCCACCCACCUAUGCCUCUCAAAGUACUGAGAUUACAGAUGUGAGCCACAAUGGCCAGCCUAUAAAGAUUAAUAUAAAAGGAACACUGAUGCAAGACCAGCCUGUGGGCCCCUGUGUCAGAUUAGCAAUGUUUUCUUGAGAAUAAGGUUCACACCCACCUCCCUGCAAUCUGAUUUGGACGGCCCAUGAGACCAGAAGAUUACAAAAACGCAAAAGAUGUUGACUUAUGAGUCCUAGAUACCCUGUAUCCGCUGGUGAAAGGACGCGAUGGAGUUGCCGUGUCCCCUCCGAGUUUGGCAGGCCCGGGAUUCCGCAAAGGAGGCGGCGGGACCAGAUGCCUCCAGCCCGGAGCUCAGUACAUUCGGUGUCCUGGAUGCUCCCUUCCUGUGCUUACCACUGCGAGCUCUCCUGGGCCGACCUAGAUUUCCACUGCCACAUACUUUCCGCUCCCUGCGUGCUUCCUUGCUGAAACUGCCGGCGAAAAGAUCUCUUUCCCAAGCCUCAGAGUACCUGGAGG